rnacentral:lncRNA from 1 species
GGCAUAUGGAGGUUCCCAGGCUAGGAGUCAAAUUGGAGCCACAGCUGCCCACCCAUGCCACAGCCACAGCAAUGACAGAUCCGAGCUGCCUCUGCGACAUACACCACAGCCCACAGCAACGCCGGAUCCUCAACCUACUGAGCGAGUGCAGGGAUCGAACCCGCAACCUCAUGUUUCCCAGUCAGAUUCAUUUCCGCUGCCCCAUGACAGAAAUCCCAGAGCCUGAGACUAAAAGGUAGAGCAAGCAUUUCUGGUAGAUGUGUUAAGAGAAUGAGAUGGUGGCCGUGUUUGAGCUGAGCUCGGAGAUGUGAGUUAAGUGCAGAGACAGGAUGAGUGGGGAAAACUUUCAAACAGAGGAAACAGACUAAACCAAAACUCAGAAAUGGGAAAGUGCAAUGCUUAUUUAAGGAAAAACAAAUAGAUCAAAUUGGCUGAAGUAUAAGGUCUAUGUAGAGGAAAUAGUAGGGGAUGAGGCCAGAAAGGUUGGUUGGGGACAAAUUAUGGAGGGCUUUGAAUGACAGGCAGAUGAAUGUGAGCUGUGCUUAGUAGGCAAUAGGGAGCCAUUGAAGGCUUUAGGGCCCCAGGAUGAUGUGAUCAAGUAGUACCUGAGGAAGAUUAAUUUAGUUGUAGUUUAUAGAAUGAAUUAGAGCAUAUGAAGAGUGCACAGGGUUUGUUGCAUGAAAGGCACCCUGUAAAUGCUUGUGGAAUAAAAUGUUUGACUAGAGCAAAGAAGAGGCUGUUGCAAAAGUCUAGGUGCAAGGUGAUAAAGCCAUUACGGAUCUAACAAUGAGAAAUAAAGAGCAAGGGAAGAAGGCUGUGAUAUUCACAUGAGGAUGACCUGCCAUGUAGUUGAAGGGAGGAAAAGAGUCACUCUUUGCUCUCAAGUCUGGAACCUGAGUGACCAGUAGAGCUCUGGGGGCACUCCCUGCACAAAGAAAGUCAGAGGAGGCUCUGGAUGUGCUAGAUGGGGACAAGACUUUGAAUUACAGAUGGGAAAUGGGGCCUACCAGGGGGAUCAGAGCUGGUGAUUCUGGUCCAGGAGGAGUGACUUCUGGAGGCACGUGGGCCAGUGGGCAGAACCUGGAGCAGUGCCCACAGUUUGGUGUUGGAAGAAGAAAAAGUGGCCAUCUUAGGAGACACAAAAAUGGUCAUAGCCAUGUGAGGAUGAAGUUAGGACAGAGUCUGGAAUUUAAGGGAGAGGGGCUUUUAAAGACGGAAGCACUGAGAGAUGUGCUCUAGGCUGCAGACAGGCAGGGAUGUGACACAGCAGAGGCUGUGCAUGGGAUUCAGCAGUUAGGUCCUCACUGUUGACCUUGGAGAGAGUAGCUUCAAUGAGCAAUGGAGAUGUUUCAGUUCCAUGCAUCAAGCCCCAAACUGGACUUUGAUGGGGUCCUCCACUCAUACGCAUCAGUUUCUUUCUCUCUUUUUGUUCUAACUCUACCUGAUCCUUCCACUGCUGGCAUUUGGCUAGACCUACUCUUCCUAUUCCUAUGGCACAAAAGAACCCUUAAGGCAAAUGGCCUUUGGUAAAACCUCAAUGACCAUGAAAUUCCAUCGCCCAAGUAAUAGAAGUAGGUACAGCCUAGAAUCAGUUUCUCUUAGGUCUGCUGACUUCUGUCCUUCUGGCCUGAUUCCCUCUAUAACCUAUAGCUAGAGUUCAAUGCCAACUUAUACAGCUUGUUUUAUGAUUGACAGUCAGCCCUAGAGUUCUUUCUCUUGCUGUAUUUAUCAAGACUCUUUGGUUGCAAGUGACAGAAACUCAAUUUGAAUUAUCUUAUUCUAACAAAUGGAAUUUGCUGGUACGUGUAUCUGGGGAAUUUAGCCACUGCUGGAUUAAGGGACUCAGUGAUGUCAUCAGGGUUCUUUUUCUCUGUGUCCACACUCUGCCUGUCUCUGCUUGGCUUCAUUAUUUCCUCCUGCAGAGAGGUCUUUCUUGGGUGUCAGCGAGGGUUUCCAUCUGUAGCUUCCCCCACCCCCAUAACAUUCGAACUGGAAAAAUCCCAGGGAAGAACAAUGAUUGGCCAGAGGGGGUCCCAGGCCUAUCCUUGAACCAUCCCUAUGCCCAAGGGCAUGAGGAGCAAUCGUUGGCUGGACCCUAAUGGCAUGCCAUCUCUGCUUUGAGGGGACAUCACAGCAACCCAUUAGGAUGCCAUGACUGACAUGGCAGAGAAGCAGUUUCACAAAGGAAGGCGGGGUGGUGGUAGGUGAUGGCGAGGGGGGUCAGCUCAAAGUAGCAGAUGUCCAAUGAUGCUCCGUCUCCUUGGCUUACAGUGUCUCUGUCACCUAGUGAGACUGUGCCUGCCGGUCUCCCAUCCCCAUCACUGCCCUAAUUAGUGGGCAGAGAACUAGCGAUAAAGCCGAGUGCCGCGGCAUCCCUCCUCCUCUGCUCUGGGCUCGCUUCGUGACAGCCGUCACCUACCUGGGCAGGUGUCUCCUGGUUUCCAGAGGCCCCAGGCUGGGGUGGCAGGGGAGGCUUAGAUCAGGGUGGUGACGGGCUGGCUGAGGUGUGCGGGGGCAGAGGCAGAGCCAGCCCUGGCUGCUGAGCGGGAUGAGAUGAAGGUGCUCUGAGGCAGAAGCCUGAGGGCAGAUUGCCCACUUGCUGCCUGAAUCCGCAGGAGGACUUGGUGCUUUCUGAGGGCCCGCACCGACUUGCUCUGUGACCUUAGGCUAGACACUUAAUUGCUCAGGGCUGCUUCCCCUCAUUCUCCAUCUGGCAAGCUGAAUAAUGACACCACGGAGCUGGCAGGAGCUGCACCUUUUUGGUGGGGGUUGUGGACUUGGAGGUUGGUGCUCUGGAAAAGGGCUCCCAGGCCAUGCUGUACCCCUGGGCGUGGGCCCCCUGGGCCCAGGGCCCCCCAGGCUGCUUGGCAGAGAGCAGGUCUCUGUGGCUCUUUGGCCUCAGGUUUUCUGUUUCAAUCUCCCAAAUUAUUUGCUUUUGCAGCUGACUGAAAAAUAGAUGUCCUUUUCCACACUCAUAGUUGAGGUGGAUGUGUGGAUUUCCAGGUGCUUAAAAACAUUUGCUUUCAGAGCCUGGAGUGUCUAGUGCCACAGAGGCCCUUAUAAGGGGCGGAGGCUUGGGGGGUUGGUGGGGUUUUAUCACUGCCUUUCCCUCUUGUCCCCUCCUCUCCCACCUCAGUACCAGGAACAGUCACAGGAUGUCCUUGGGGAGUGUUUUCAAAUAUACAGACCCAGCAGAGUAUGUGGCGGGGAGGCAGGUAACAGAGGUGGGGAUAUGAUCAAGCCAUAGGGAGGCUUUACCUGUCAAUCUUCAGUAUUUACCCUCUGUGCUGCCAAGCCCUGGAGCGUGCUGUUCAAACUUUACAUUGCUUUGCCAGCCACCAAGAGUUGGAGAAAGAAAUGCAUAUUCCAGGUUCCAGAAGCCUGAGUUUUCAACAAGCAGCUCAGGGGAUCCUGAGAUCAGUGGGACCAGAUCUGAGCAAGGGAAGAGGGUGGAGCUCUGGGCUUUUCAUCUGGGUUGAAUCGGAGCAGCUUAACUUUUAUCUGCUUUGCACAUUGAGGUUCUAGACGCGUGUACACUAGAACAAACGGUUUCACCAUCUCAAAGUAAUUUGAAAGCCACUGAACAAAAGCCAUCUAAUCAUCAUGGCAAUUUUAGAGCCCAGGCUUCUUAGCCUCGCACUCAGGACCUUCCAUGACCUAAUUCCUCUCAAGGUGGUUUUAGCCACAGGCAGCCCAGUAUUUCCCAAAUGGGCUUCCCACAUCUUUCCCACAGUCCUCUUCCUGCAUGAAGCCUUCCAGGAUGGUCCCAGAAAGCCAGAGCCUCUGAGCGCUCCAGGAAGCACAGCUGGAGUGGGAGGGAAGGAGGUGACAUCCCUCCUAUGCCUUAUGUGGAAUUUGCCAAGGUAUCCUCUUGACAUGAUGGAGGUCAGGACGAAAGAGCGAACAUAGGGGACAGGAAGACCGGAAGUCAGAUGGCGUAGAAAGACCUUCCCUUCCCCAUGCCAUGCCCCAGUCUCUCCCCCUGUACUAGAACCUCAUGAUGACUCUGGGCAGGGAGAGUCAGAUGUUCGCCCCAUCAAACCCUCCAGGAGGGCAGAGCAGAUGGGCCCCCACUCCCAGCUCUCACAUCACCCCACUUCUCCUGGACGCAGGCACCACGCAUGGGCUUUCUGCCAGCAGGAUGAAAAUAUGCUGGGCUGGGCACCAGAGCAUGAGGUUGGAGGCACCCCCUAGCCCCACGGCCGAAAAGCUGGACCUCUGGAUUCUGUCCCCCUUUGUUGGAGGAGGAAGCGUGACUGGGGGAGCUGGAAGCACGGGGUUCUCUCAUCCCGAGAGCUGUCAGCCUGACCAGAGCAGGCAUUCAUUUUCAGAAUAAAUAAUCAACUCAAAAAAUGUACCAAAUUCAUUUUCAAAUUGGCUUGUCAGAUACACAUUUGCCCAGGACGAGUCGGUUGAAUAAAAUGUAUCUUGGGGAGCAAGGUGAGCCAGCCUGUCUCAUUCCCUCAGGGACCUCUUGUAAAUAAGGGCCAUUCUGGAGGCCGGAAGCAGAGAAUUCCCCAGAACAGAUUGAAUUCUGGCUUUGUCUUAAUGAACGUCAAUAUUUAUUACCAAAGGCGUUGUGCUCCUUGGAGUGAUCGAGCCUUUCACCAUUUCAGCUCUCGCCUGUUGCCUUCCCAGGUACCAAACGCUGUGUAAUUGCUGCUCAUAAAGGCGGCAGACACUAUUGCCAGGGAAACUCACUCCGGGCUGUAAAUCUGCAUCGUCAAAACCAGCGGGGCUUUGCUUUCCGUUUGGAUGGAGCGUGAGCGUCCCUGAGGGUAGGGCCCACCCAGAUUUUCUGGUUUUCCUCCUUUAGCAGAGAGACUCCCUUAGCCCCCCUCAGAGGAAGGGCUCUUCCUGGGAUCAGCAGGAGAAGGGCUGGAAAAGCUGAGACGUGGUGGAAGUUAUACCCCCAGCCCAGAGCUGAGGGAGAGAGAAUCCCUCCUCCUGUGUGUAUUAGGGCCUGUGAGGUUGUCCCGUCAACUCUCACUCCUCGAAUAGGGAAGCUGAGGCUCAGAGACAGGCG